rnacentral:rRNA from 1 species
UACAGAGGGGGCAAGCGUUGUUCGGAAUUACUGGGCGUAAAGGGCGCGUAGGCGGCCGCCUAAGUCAGACGUGAAAUCCCUCGGCUCAACCGGGGAACUGCGUCUGAGACUGGAAGGCUUGAAUCCGGGAGAGGGAUGUGGAAUUCCAGGUGUAGCGGUGAAAUGCGUAGAUAUCCGGAGGAACACCGGUGGCGAAGGCGGCUUCCUGGACCGACACUGACGCUGAGGCGCGAAAGCGUGGGGAGCGAACAGG